rnacentral:rRNA from 1 species
AUUGAACGCUGGCGGCAGGCCUAACACAUGCAAGUCGAGCGGUAGCACAGAGAGCUUGCUCUCGGGUGACGAGCGGCGGACGGGUGAGUAAUGUCUGGGAAACUGCCUGAUGGAGGGGGAUAACUACUGGAAACGGUAGCUAAUACCGCAUAACGUCGCAAGACCAAAGUGGGGGACCUUCGGGCCUCAUGCCAUCAGAUGUGCCCAGAUGGGAUUAGCUAGUAGGUGGGGUAACGGCUCACCUAGGCGACGAUCCCUAGCUGGUCUGAGAGGAUGACCAGCCACACUGGAACUGAGACACGGUCCAGACUCCUACGGGAGGCAGCAGUGGGGAAUAUUGCACAAUGGGCGCAAGCCUGAUGCAGCCAUGCCGCGUGUGUGAAGAAGGCCUUCGGGUUGUAAAGCACUUUCAGCGGGGAGGAAGGCGAUAAGGUUAAUAACCUUGUCGAUUGACGUUACCCGCAGAAGAAGCACCGGCUAACUCCGUGCCAGCAGCCGCGGUAAUACGGAGGGUGCAAGCGUUAAUCGGAAUUACUGGGCGUAAAGCGCACGCAGGCGGUCUGUCAAGUCGGAUGUGAAAUCCCCGGGCUCAACCUGGGAACUGCAUUCGAAACUGGCAGGCUAGAGUCUUGUAGAGGGGGGUAGAAUUCCAGGUGUAGCGGUGAAAUGCGUAGAGAUCUGGAGGAAUACCGGUGGCGAAGGCGGCCCCCUGGACAAAGACUGACGCUCAGGUGCGAAAGCGUGGGGAGCAAACAGGAUUAGAUACCCUGGUAGUCCACGCCGUAAACGAUGUCGAUUUGGAGGUUGUGCCCUUGAGGCGUGGCUUCCGGAGCUAACGCGUUAAAUCGACCGCCUGGGGAGUACGGCCGCAAGGUUAAAACUCAAAUGAAUUGACGGGGGCCCGCACAAGCGGUGGAGCAUGUGGUUUAAUUCGAUGCAACGCGAAGAACCUUACCUGGUCUUGACAUCCACAGAACUUUCCAGAGAUGGAUUGGUGCCUUCGGGAACUGUGAGACAGGUGCUGCAUGGCUGUCGUCAGCUCGUGUUGUGAAAUGUUGGGUUAAGUCCCGCAACGAGCGCAACCCUUAUCCUUUGUUGCCAGCGGUUAGGCCGGGAACUCAAAGGAGACUGCCAGUGAUAAACUGGAGGAAGGUGGGGAUGACGUCAAGUCAUCAUGGCCCUUACGACCAGGGCUACACACGUGCUACAAUGGCAUAUACAAAGAGAAGCGACCUCGCGAGAGCAAGCGGACCUCAUAAAGUAUGUCGUAGUCCGGAUUGGAGUCUGCAACUCGACUCCAUGAAGUCGGAAUCGCUAGUAAUCGUAGAUCAGAAUGCUACGGUGAAUACGUUCCCGGGCCUUGUACACACCGCCCGUCACACCAUGGGAGUGGGUUGCAAAAGAAGUAGGUAGCUUAACCUUCGGGAGGGCGCUUACCACUUUGUGAUUCAUGACUGGGGUGA